AGUAGGGAAUAUUGGACAAUGGGUGAGAGCCUGAUCCAGCCAUGCCGCGUGCAGGAAGAAGGCGUUAUGCGUUGUAAACUGCUUUAGCCAGGGGAUAAAACGGCUCUGCGGAGCUAAUUGAAGGUACCUGGAUAAUAAGCCACGGCUAACUACGUGCCAGCAGCCGCGGUAAUACGUAGGUGGCAAGCGUUGUCCGGAUUUAUUGGGUUUAAAGGGUGCGUAGGCGGCCCUGUAAGUCAGUGCUGAAAUAUCCCGGCUUAACCGGGAGGGUGGCAUUGAUACUGCAGGGCUUGAGUACAGAUGAAGUAGGCGGAAUUGACGGUGUAGCGGUGAAAUGCAUAGAUAUCGUCAAGAACACCGAUAGCGAAGGCAGCUUACUAAGCUGUAACUGACGCUGAGGCACGAAAGUGUGGGGAUCAAA
rnacentral:rRNA from 1 species